AACGCACAUUGCGCCCGCCGGCAUUCCGGCGGGCAUGCCCGUUCGAGCGUCAUUUCAAUUCCUUUCCCAGGAGGGAACUUUUGUUUUCACAGGAGUUCUUGCCGGGGGCGUUGGCACCGAGCGCCAUCUUAGGCGGCCGGAGCCCAAAUGCAGCGGCGGACGCGCAGGCGGCCCCUAGCGUAGUAGAAAACAACUUUUUUUUUUCUCGCUCAGGAGGCUCGUAGCGGCGGACCACAGCCUUAUAUAAAAGCUUUUUGCUACGAAAACUUGACCUCGGAUCGGGUAGGACUACCCGCUGAACUUAA
rnacentral:misc_RNA from 1 species